rnacentral:rRNA from 1 species
AGAACGAACGCUGGCGGCAGGCUUAACACAUGCAAGUCGAACGCUCCGCAAGGAGAGUGGCAGACGGGUGAGUAACGCGUGGGAAUCUACCUAGUUCUACGGAACAACACAGGGAAACUUGUGCUAAUACCGUAUACGCCCUACGGGGGAAAGAUUUAUCGGAAUUAGAUGAGCCCGCGUAAGAUUAGCUAGUUGGUGGGGUAAUGGCCUACCAAGGCGACGAUCUUUAGCUGGUCUGAGAGGAUGAUCAGCCACACUGGGACUGAGACACGGCCCAGACUCCUACGGGAGGCAGCAGUGGGGAAUAUUGGACAAUGGGCGAAAGCCUGAUCCAGCCAUGCCGCGUGAGUGAUGAAGACCUUAGGGUUGUAAAGCUCUUUCAGUAGGGAAGAUAAUGACGGUACCUACAGAAGAAGCCCGGCUAACUUCGUGCCAGCAGCCGC